UUUUAACCUUUUAAAUUCUCAAUGUAUGUCUUGUCUCUUUAAUCCAACAUUAAGUGUUAAAAGUUUUCCAUAUUAAUGGUGAAAAUGUAUUUGAGGUGUUUUUAAUGGCUGUAUUUUUAAAAUCUUUCCAAUGUUACCCGUUGUACACCAUGGUUUUAGGAGACAGAACCAUAGUAUUGCACUGAAGAGGGACUUAACAUUUAUAUAAGUCCGAAAUGCGUAUGUGGAAACAAUAAAAGAAGUGUCUAACCUGAAAGCUGUAAUAAUAGUCUACCGAACUUAAUGUCGGAUUAAAGAGACAAGACAUACAUUGAACAUAAUAACAGCUAUCUAAAAGUGAUACUUUUAAAUUCUAUUUCAUUUUUUAAUAAAUGGUUUAGAGUUAAAAAAUUUUUAGUCCUCUAAGUCAGAAACGAAGGAAAAUUAAAACUUUUUGUGUACUCUUUGAUAGUACAAUUAAAUCCAUCUUCGCCAGUUUCUUAAUACAAAAUUCAGUGCCUGUGAGAGUGAAAUAAACAUGUAAAGCUUUUUUAAAUUUGUAACAGAGAAAGAAUUUAUUAUGAAACCAAUUAUUAUUGUAGAUAUUUUACUUUGUAUAUUUUUCAAAAAUUAAAAUAUUACAUCUUUAUAUAUACAUGAAGUGAAAUCUGAAUGUGAUGAACAGAUCAGUUUUGAGAAUUUUGUAUACAAAAAAAACAUUUUGACAGCAUUUCCCUUUGUCUAAAAACAUAGUUAAUGAUAAAAUAAUGUUUUGUUAAUUUUAAUACGAGUGUGUAAUUAAAGUUUACAAUGCUUUUGUGGACAUACAUAUAUGUUGUAAUUAGCUGUAAAAAAAAGACAACAAUGAUACACAAUUAAAUUUAAAUUAGGGGUAGAUUUAUUUGUAAAAUUUACCAGUGUUCUGAAUGUAGAGAAAGAGGAUUGGAAUUCAAAAAUGUCACACCAUAAAAUGAGAAUCUUUAAAAUAUCCAUUAUAUUAGUAUUAAAAUCAUUAAUUUUUUAUGCUAUAAAAUUUCUUUAGUAAUU